UACGUAGGGGGCAAGCGUUGUCCGGAAUCAUUGGGCGUAAAGCGCGUGUAGGCGGUUCGGUAAGUCUGCUGUGAAAGUCCAGGGCUCAACCCUGGGAUGCCGGUGGAUACUGUCGGGCUAGAGUACGGAAGAGGCGAGUGGAAUUCCCGGUGUAGCGGUGAAAUGCGCAGAUAUCGGGAGGAACACCAAUGGCGAAGGCAGCUCGCUGGGACGGUACUGACGCUGAGACGCGAAAGCGUGGGGAGCAAACAGG
rnacentral:rRNA from 1 species